rnacentral:rRNA from 1 species
CCUACGGGUGGCAGCAGUGAGGAAUAUUGGUCAAUGGUCGGGAGCCUGAACCAGCCAAGCCGCGUGAGGGAUGAAGGUACAGAGUAUCGUAAACCUCUUUUGUCAGGGAACAAAGGCGGGGACUAGUCCCCGUAUGAGGGUACCUGAAGAAAAAGCAUCGGCUAACUCCGUGCCAGCAGCCGCGGUAAUACGGAGGAUGCGAGCGUUAUCCGGAUUUCUUGGGUUUAAAGGGUGCGCAGGCGGCCUGUUAAGUCAGCGGUAAAAGCCCGGGGCUCAACCCCGGCCAGCCGUUGAAACUGGCGGGAUGGAGUUGGAGAGAAGUAGGCGGAAGGCGUGGUGUAGCGGUGAAAUGCUUAGAUAUCGCGCAGAACUCCGAUUGCGAAGGCAGCGUACCGGCGCCCAACUGACGCUGAGGCACGAAAGCGUGGGUAUCGAACAGGAUUAGAUACCCGAGUAGUC